rnacentral:rRNA from 1 species
ACAUUUAACGGCCGCGGUAUCAUAACCGUGCAAAGGUAGCGUAAUCACUUGUCUCCUAAAUAGAGACUCGUAUGAACGGCUAACUGAGGGCCCAACUGUCUUCUACGCCCAAUCAAUGAAACUGAUCUUUCAGUACAAAAGCUGAAAUAACACCACAAGACGAAAAGACCCUGUGGAGCUUUAAGCCUACCACUACAUAAACUCCCUACAAACCCACGGGACAAACAGACUUUAUAUAUAGCCCUACGCUUUAAGUUGGGGCGACUGCGGAGAAAAAAAGAACCUCCAUGAAAACGGGCUAACAACCUGAUACUAGGCCUACAAGCCAGCCCACCAUUACUGACCCAGUAACACUGAAAACCGGACCAAGUUACCCCAGGGAUAACAGCGCCAUCCUCCUUAAGAGUCCAUAUCGCCAGGGGGGUUUACGACCUCGAUGUUGGAUCAGGACACCCAAGUGGUGUAGCCGCUACUAACGGUUCGUUUGUUCAACGAUCAAUGUCCU